GUGCCAGCCGCCGCGGUAAUACAUAGGGGGCGAGCGUUAUCCGGAAUUAUUGGGCGUAAAGGGUGCGUAGGCGGCCGUUUAAGUCUUUGGUGUAAGUGCAAGGCUCAACCUUGUGAUGCUAAAGAAACUGGGCGGCUUGAGUGUGGUAGAGGCAAGUGGAAUUCCAUGUGUAGCGGUAAAAUGCGUAAAUAUAUGGAGGAACACCGGUGGCGAAGGCGGCUUGCUGGGCCACAACUGACGCUGAGGCACGAAAGCGUGGGGAGCAAACAGGAUUAGAUACCCUGGUAGUCCACGCCGUAAACGAUGAGCGCUAAGUGUAGGGGAAACCCUGUGCUGUAGUUAACGCAAUAAGCGCUCCGCCUGAGUAGUACGUGCGCAAGCAUGAAACUCAAAGGAAUUGACGGGACCCCGCACAAGCGGUGGAUCAUGUUGUUUAAUUCGAUGAUACGCGAAGAACCUUACCAGGUCUUGACAUCCCCCGCAAAGCUUUAGAGAUAAAGCGGAGGUUACCGGGGAGACAGGUGGUGCAUGGUUGUCGUCAGCUCGUGUCGUGAGAUGUUGGGUUAAGUCCCGCAACGAGCGCAACCCUUAUUGCUAGUUACCAUCAUUGAGUUGGGGACUCUAGCGAGACUGCCAGUGAUAAACUGGAGGAAGGUGGGGAUGACGUCAAAUCAUCAUGCCCCUUAUGACCUGGGCUACAAACGUGAUACAAUGGCUGGAACAAAGGGGGGCGAAGGGGUGACCUGGAGCGAAACUCAAAAAAACAGUCUCAGUUCGGAUUGAAGUCUGCAACUCGACUUCAUGAAGUCGGAAUCGCUAGUAAUCGCGGAUCAGAACGCCGCGGUGAAUACGUUCUCGGGGUUUGUACACACCGCCCGUCAAACCACGAAAGUUGACAAUACCCAAAGCCGGUGGCCUAACCGCAAGGAGGGAGCCGUUUAAGGUAGGGUCGAUGAUUGGGGUUAAGUCGUAACAAGGUAACC
rnacentral:rRNA from 2 species